UUCGAUGCAAAGCGAAGAACCUUACCAGGGCUUGACAUGCCGCGAAUCCUCUUGAAAGAGAGGGGUGCCUUCGGGAACGCGGACACAGGUGGUGCAUGGUUGUCGUCAGCUCGUGCCGUAAGGUGUUGGGUUAGAAGACAGAUAGUUGAGCGAUUGAGUUGUAGAAUUGAAUAGCGAGGUAAUUAAAAGGAGGGUUGUGUCGAUUAAGGUCUUGAGGGCAGGG
rnacentral:ncRNA from 1 species